CAGCAGCAGCCGCGGUAAUACGUAGGUGGCAAGCGUUGUCCGGAAUUAUUGGGCGUAAAGGUCUCGCAGGCGGUUUCUUAAGUCUGAUGUGAAAGCCCCCGGCUCAACCGGAGAGGGUCAUUGGAAACUGGGAAACUUGAGUGCAGAAGAGGAGAGUGGAAUUCCACGUGUAGCGGUGAAAUGCGUAGAGAUGUGGAGGAACACCAGUGGCGAAGGCGACUCUCUGGUCUGUAACUGACGCUGAGGAGCGAAAGCGUGGGGAGCGAACAGGAUUAGAUACCCGCGUAGUCCCUGUCUCUUAUAC
rnacentral:rRNA from 1 species